rnacentral:siRNA from 1 species
AACCGCACCCAAAACUGCACCGCA